rnacentral:rRNA from 1 species
UGAGUACGAGCUGCUACGGCAGCGAAGUGGGUGAUGUCAUGCUUCCAAGAAAAGCCCUAUACCCGUUAAGGCAUGAUGGCCUGUACCCGAAACCGACACAGGUGGGGUGGUAGAGAAUACCGAGGGGCGCGAGGUAACUCUCUCUAAGGAACUCGGCAAAAUGGCCCCGUAACUUCGGGAGAAGGGGUGCCACCGCAAGGUGGUCGCAGUGAAGAGGCCCAGGCGACUGUUUACCAAAAACACAGGUCUCCGCUAAGUCGCAAGACGAUGUAUGGGGGCUGACGCCUGCCCAGUGCCGGAAGGUUAAGGAAGCUGGUCAGCGUAAGCGAAGCUAGCGACUGAAGCCCCGGUGAACGGCGGCCGUAACGAUAACGGUCCUAAGGUAGCGAAAUUCCUUGUCGGGUAAGUUCCGACCCGCACGAAAGGCGUAACGAUCUGGGCGCUGUCUCGGAGAGAGGCUCGGCGAAAUAGAAUUGUCUGUGAAGAUGCGGACUACGUGCACCCGGACAGAAAGACCCUAUGAAGCUUUACUGUAGCUUGGUAUUGUGCUCGGGCUCGGAAUGCGCAGGAUAGGUGGGAGGCUAUGAACCAUUGCUUGUGGGUGAUGGUGAGCCACUGGUGAGAUACCACUCUUUCCGAGCUAGAGUUCUAACAGCCACCCGUUAUCCGGGGGCUGGACAGUAUCAGGUGGGCAGUUUGACUGGGGCGGUCGCCUCCUAAAAGGUAACGGAGGCGCGCAAAGGUUUGCUCAGGCUGGUUGGAAAUCAGCCGACGAGUGUAAAAGCAGAAGCAAGCUUGACUGUGAGACCUACAAGUCGAACAGGGAGGAAACUCGGCUUUAGUGAUCCGACGGUUCUGCGUGGAAGGGCCGUCGCUCAACGGAUAAAAGUUACUCUAGGAUAACAGGCUGAUCUCCCCCAAGAGUUCACAUCGACGGGGAGGUUUGGCACCUCGAUGUCGGCUCAUCGCAACCUGGGGCUGAAGUCGGUCCCAAGGGUUGGGCUGUUCGCCCAUUAAAGCGGUACGCGAGCUGGGUUCAGAACGUCGCGAGACAGUUCGGUCCAUAUCCGGUGCAUGCGCAGGAAUAUUGAGAGGAUUUCUCCCUAGUACGAGAGGACCGGGAGGAACGCACCUCUGGUGUACCAGUUAUCGUGCCAACGGUAAACGCUGGGUAGCCAUGUGCGGAGAGGAUAACCGCUGAAAGCAUCUAAGUGGGAAGCCCACCUCAAGAUGAGUAUUCCCAUGGGGUAACCCAGUAAGGUCACGGGAAGAACACCCGUUGAUAGGCUCUACGUGGAAGCGCAGUAAUGUGUGAAGCGGAGGAGUACUAAUAGACCGAGGGCUUGAUC